CCCCAUGCCUUUUCUUUUACCUUCUCUCCCUGUUAGUCUCUUUAAAUAUUCAGGUGUGUAAUGCCUUCCUGACCACAAACGUCAUUCAGAAGGGAAACAGAAGUUAAAAACCUGACAUCACUCUGAAGUUCAUUCGUGGUGUGGGUGUAAACCAGACCCAGCUUUAACAACACAACAUACUUUCUCCUGUGGCUGCCUCUCUUUCUGGUAGUGGAAAGAGGACAACAUUAUCUUUUUCCAGAGCAUCAUCAUCAUGAAUCCUUGUGAGUAGCAGUGAUGGUCCUGGAGUGCAGUGCCAGGGUGAUCUUUAAAGGUGUAAAGCCGUGCCUGCCCGUGAAGAAAGGAGGCUGCACUCUGACCUCUGGCGAUGGCAGGGACCAACCCCAAGGUGAAGCCCGAGCUCUCUGCCGUGAGCUAGCCCGCCGGCACCGCACGGCACGGCCCCUCCGAGGGCUCCGCGUUCCCCCCGCACCGAGCCAGCCCGGGGCAGGGCGGGCUCGGCGGAGCGCCAGCGCUGCCCUUUCCCCGCCGCUCCCCUCGCACAGCACCCGGGUGCCUCCUGCCGACCGGCCGCUCCCAGGGCCCUUCCCAAGGGUCCAUCCCCACGCGCGACCUGGUGGCCGUGGCCUCCCAGCGCCCGCUCGGGUCGUGUCCCCGCAGUGCGCUCCGCCGGGGCCGGGCGGGGGCCGGGCGGUGUCCGGAGGGUGUCCGGAGGGUGUCCAGGCGGUAUCCGGAGGGUGUCCGGAGGGUGUCCGGGCAGUGUCCGGGCGGUGUCCGGAGGGUGUCCGGGCAGUGUCCGGGCGGUGUCCGGAGGGUGUCCCGCAGUCCCGCAGUGGCACCUGCUGCCAGGCCCGGGCAGCGCCGCCGCCCCGGGCAGUCCGUGGUUUAAACGCCGUUUGCCAGCGACGGGGACCGUUUGUUGCACUCGACCCAUGACCCGCUGGUGGGAUCAGGAUUGCGAACCUGAUGCCUUCGUUCCAGCGGGAUUCUGCCUGCCUGAGGACCUGGCCCGUUAAGCGAAAGGACGAACGCCUGCAGAAACACCUUCCUGCAGGCACAGCAGGCGGCUGUGCAGCACUCACUGGGGUGGUGUGCAUGGAGCCCUGACGCAGAGCUGUUAAAACCAGCAGUUAGCCAAGCGAGCAGAACAAGACCGGGAAUGCUAAACAUGGCACCCUCAAAAUCAUAUGAGCAAAGCGCUUGUUUAUCCUCACACCUUGGGAACAGCCUAUUAGUGCAGGUGAUGGAUGAUGAAGGAUGGGGUGCAGGGCCUAGAGCUUGCUGGGGAGUCUGGGAAGGACCAAGGUUCCCUGGCUGGAUGAGCUCCCUGCCUCAUGUGUGCUACAGGGGGUGGCCUCCUUCCUUCCCCAUUUCCUGCAAGAGAAGGUAGAGCUUCUGCAAGAGUAGUUCAUAAACAACAGUGUCAUGGGAUGUUUUCAGAGCAACUGAAGGUCUGCUCCACUUCCACAGAGAUCAUGAAAGUCUUACUGUUGACAAUAUCCUGCUUCACCUCCAGUUGUUAUUCCAGCAGAAGAGAUGUGUCUCGUGGUCCUGUGUCACAUCUGCAAGCCCUUUGGGCUGCUGAUCCUUGUCCUUUGUGAAGCUGUGCCAGGCACUGAUUUAUCAGCGAUCCAGUAAAAUGCUGCAUCCUACCUUAAAACUCCUGAAGACAGAAAACAAAUUCAUAAGCUUUGGUCUGCAGGUGUCAACACACAAACUUGCCUGCACAGGUGGGAGAGUUCAAUCCUGUCCAUCGGUUGCAUUCCGUGCUUUCAAAGACCUGCGUCAGCAUUUUUCAAGCCUGUACACACUUGAAUUGGAACAGGAAGAAAACAUCCACAAAACUCAAGUGAAUGAACUGGUCAAAAAGUCUUGAAAGAGCGAAGUGGAGAUCCAGCAAAUGUGUAUGUCUGAUCCAGUCUACCCUUUCCAUACACUACUGAUACCAUGUUCUAAAAAUUUUUGUACCACUCUGAGCAAAGAUCCAGCUGUGGUGUCCAAACCAGGUGAGAUCUGGCAGGUUGGCAUCCCAGGGACCCAUGUACCACACCACUGUAACGUGCACUGCACUUCAACAGCAGAUUUUGUAUUAGCUUUGAGACAAACUGCAAACUACAGUACGGCCAUGGAUUUGCUCCUGAGAACAGAACAAGCUUGUCCAUGGGUAUAGUGACUUGUAGCUCUUUUCCAAAUGAUCCAGCUCUAGGAAAGGAAAAUAUAAGGGUCUUGCACUGAUGUGAGCUUAAUGAUUUGGGGAUUUGGCUGUACUUAAUGGCUCUGCCAAAUGAGUGGAAAGACCACCUCUGCUCUGCUUCUGCUCCUCCUGUUCUUUCUAGGACCAAAAAGGAGGUGAGGGCACAGCCUACCUCCUGUAUGCAGGCAAGUGAAAGGGGAGGAGAGCAUCCUGUUUUGCUUGUGUCUGCCACAGCCUGGAAACCAGCAGUGUGGAGCUCAUCUUGUCCUUCCCCCUCCCCAAACCCAGCAAACCAGGCAAUAUUUCUCAGACACUUUCUACUCACCUAGAUUCAGGAAAUUUACAGAGGAAUAAGUAACACAAAAAGAGCACAACGGGUCUGAAUUUAAGGGAUCUUCACCUUUCCCCAUCCUCAGUUUCUCAAGUUGAGACUUCAUCUCAGUUCAUUACAUGCUUAAAGCAGAGAUCAGCUCUUCCUUCUUGUUCAUGCAGUGCUGGGAAAACUGGUUGUACUUUUGUUCAGAGAAGAAUAAACAGCAACCACUGACAUGGUCAGCUUGUUUCUACCAUCAUCACUGAUCUCGGUCUGUCAACUGCUUUUGCUGCUUAUUUGUUGGCAAAGACACUCAAACCAAAGGUCCUUUGGGAGACACAAAGACAAUAGAAGGAAACAUUUGCCUGAUGUCUGAUGUUACCGCAAAGAGCUGGCCAGUGCACAUAAGAAUAUUGGACUUAUGAUGGAAAAUUUAAUGGGAAAAUGGAAUAGGACUUGUGCUUCUCAGUGCCUAUCUGCUCCCUGACAUAUGGUCCAACUCUGGCUGAAAUCAGCCUUUUUCACCUCUACAGCUGAAAGGCUUUGGGGCUCAGCUAGGCCAGGGUACCAGUCAUAGCACCUCCCCUAGUCAUUCCUUGUUUUCUGUUCCCAAUCCCAUCGUGUCAUCCAGACUUCCAGAAAUAGACAGCUGUUCCCAUUUGAGUAGUCCUGAUGUGGAGUACAAUUUAAACCCAAGACACCAACCUUCUAAUCCUUCAGGGAGUUUUUCCUUAGGUGCAUUUUGGGUCUUCCCUCUUGCACCAGAAACAUCCUAGUCCAGACACAAGCUGCAACUAUUCUGUGCAGCUGCUUCUUGUUAUCAAAAGAGUUCCUGUCUAUGUGUGAAAUGAAAGCUAGUUAUAAAAGAAGAGAAAAAUCUAUGCCAAGUGGAUUCCCUGGGGUUGGGCAUGAGGCUGUGGGACUGUCUUAAACCCGAGGAGGUUAAUUUUUGGUUAUGCAAACAAGCUCUGGAUGGAAAAUGUUGCCUGCUGAGGCUUGCUACUCUCACCACAACUAAUGUGUAGAAACUUGGUGUAUGUGGAGGUUGUGUCUCUGGGAAGUAUUGUGAUGGACCACUGUCAGUGCAGGAAACCUACAGAAAGUGGCAUGGUCAGUGGUCUGUCAGGCUGUUUUCAGUGGAUUUAUUAUAGAUUUAGUAACAUUUCAUUGUUAUUUUAUAUAUAUUCAGCUUUACUAGUUAGUCAUCCAAGCAAAGGGGUUUGCAAUGGAAGCUACUGCAGCUCAGGAGGACAAUGUAUAUGAGUACCAGCAGAGCUCAUGCCACAACAGCUCCAAGCAUAGGGUUGUGUAAUUUGAAAGGGAGAGUACCUGUCUCUCACCCUCUGUUGCACUAACUUGAACUUGUUUUGCAGUGGAACUCAUACAAAAAAGAUACGUAUGGUUGUUUUUGAAGUGUAAAGACAAAAGAACUUGUUGAUAGCACAAGGACAAAGGCACAAACACACUAGAAAGGGUGGGCAAGAAGAGUUUAAGGACAGGUUCAACAACACAUUCAGAUGGGAAGAAGACAUUCUGCAGUAAACACAGGCAAGACAAGCUGUUCUGUA